rnacentral:siRNA from 1 species
GGCGUUAUCCCUCUUGAGCUGAGAACGACGACGAGGGAGGGCUCGGCGGCCUUGUUAGCGGGGUGUUAAGCACUUCUGUGCGAACCUCCAUCUCAAGACGCCAGCUACGGCUUCGUAGGGUGUGAUGAGUGCUUUAAAUGGCGCUCAUCCUCUACCCAGCCCACCUACCCUUGUGACAUGGGCCGCUCCCCUUCCGGUUCGGCCCUUGUCAAUUGUCUAUCACUCCUGAGCUA